rnacentral:rRNA from 1 species
AACGAACGCUGGCGGCAUGCCUAACACAUGCAAGUCGAACGAGACCUUCGGGUCUAGUGGCGCACGGGUGCGUAACGCGUGGGAACCUGCUCUUAGGUUCGGAAUAACUCCCCGAAAGGGGUGCUAAUACCGGAUAAUGUCUUCGGACCAAAGAUUUACCGCCUUUGGAUGGGCCCGCGUUGGAUUAGCUAGUUGGUAGGGUAAAAGCCUACCAAGGCGACGAUCCAUAGCUGGUCUGAGAGGAUGAUCAGCCACACUGGGACUGAGACACGGCCCAGACUCCUACGGGAGGCAGCAGUGGGGAAUAUUGGACAAUGGGCGAAAGCCUGAUCCAGCAAUGCCGCGUGAGUGAUGAAGGCCUUAGGGUUGUAAAGCUCUUUUACCCGGGAUGAUAAUGACAGUACCGGGAGAAUAAGCUCCGGCUAACUCCGUG